CAAAGGUCGAUGAAUAACAGUUUACUUUUUACAGUUGGGUCCAGAGGAAAAUGAGUUUUUACAAAAUUUGUCCAAUUAUCUAGUUGAUUAUUGGAUUCCCUCGAUUCCUGGAGGAUGUCAUGAAAAAAGAUUGGAGUACAAUUAACUUAGUCCCUUGGGGUUCCUUUUCUUGAUCAUCAGCUAUUAUCAUCAUCAUCAUCAAGAUUUCUUGGUUAAGAGGGAGGGAAAACCAGACUGUUGAUGAAAAGAUGAAGGGGAGAAGAAGUAUUAACAAAUGAACCUCACCCUGAUUUCUGUGGAAAAAUUUGAUUUAAAUGAAACUGUUCAAUUUAAUUUGCUUGUUUUUCAUUCAAUGUCAGUCAAAAUUGACAGUUCCGAUCCAUUAUUUUCUCUACAAUCAACAUUAUCAUUACCAUCAUCACCAUCUUCACCAUCUUCACUUUAAUGAGCCAACUGUAAAUCUGAACAAUUUGCCAUUCUCCAUUUUUCUCGUUGUUUACCAUUCAAAGUUACCUGCAUUCAAAGUUAUACUUGACCAAGCAUUUGGAAACAAGCAAAUUAUUAAAUGUUGAACAAUUAUCAAAUUUGGUGGUUUCACAUUCAAACUUGUUGUACGUUAACCAGCAGUAAUUACUCCAUCAAUCUUUGACCAGACUAUUUCAUCUUCAACAUUUGCUGUCUCUCAACUCAACAAUUGGUUCAUCAGGAUGAAAAAAAGUUAACAUCUAAUUCCAAUUAAAUUAGUGAUUUAAUGAAGCCUCAUUAGGAAUCAGCUACAAGUCUCGACAUAAAUGAGAAUAGAAAGAACGAUAUUAUUUCGAUCCAUAAAAUGGGGUAAAAACAAAUUAUGUAAAUAACAUGGUUAAUGGUAACAAAAAUAAUUCUCAUUCUCAUCAUGAUUUGAAGCAUUUAUAUAAAAUUCUUAUAUAUGUUAAUCAAGAUGUUAUUAUUUUGGCAACAAGAGUGUUUCACAUUAUUA